UAGGGAAUCUUCGGCAAUGGACGAAAGUCUGACCGAGCAACGCCGCGUGAGUGAAGAAGGUUUUCGGAUCGUAAAACUCUGUUGUUAGAGAAGAACAAGGACGUUAGUAACUGAACGUCCCCUGACGGUAUCUAACCAGAAAGCCACGGCUAACUACGUGCCAGCAGCCGCGGUAAUACGUAGGUGGCAAGCGUUGUCCGGAUUUAUUGGGCGUAAAGCGAGCGCAGGCGGUUUCUUAAGUCUGAUGUGAAAGCCCCCGGCUCAACCGGGGAGGGUCAUUGGAAACUGGGAGACUUGAGUGCAGAAGAGGAGAGUGGAAUUCCAUGUGUAGCGGUGAAAUGCGUAGAGAUCUGGAGGAAUACCGGUGGCGAAGGCGGCCCCCUGGACGAAGACUGACGCUCAGGUGCGAAAGCGUGGGGAGCAAACAGG
rnacentral:rRNA from 1 species